rnacentral:rRNA from 1 species
UACGUAGGGUGCGAGCGUUGUCCGGAAUUAUUGGGCGUAAAGAGCUUGUAGGCGGUCUGUCGCGUCUGCUGUGAAAAUCCGGGGCUCAACCCCGGACUUGCAGUGGGUACGGGCAGACUAGAGUGUGGUAGGGGAGACUGGAAUUCCUGGUGUAGCGGUGAAAUGCGUAGAUAUUGGGAAGAACACCUGAGGCGAAGGCGGGAUGCUGGGCCGACACUGACGCUGAGGCGCGAAAGCCAGGGGAGCAAACGGG